AUGACCAGGGAGGAGUGGACACGAGUCCACAUUUUGCCUGCAUUAUCCCAGAUCCUCUCCACCCUCGAGGGAGGUACUGAGAAGUCAAGUCACAGAGCUGGAGCGAGGGUCUGUCGCAUCCGUAUGUCUCCCCCCAUCUCCCCUGCCCCAUGCACUGGACCCCGCGCCACUUGCCCUGCCUCGAGGAGCAAAGUCCCGGCAGCUCCACAGCGGAAGCCGACGACAGCCCGGGUUCCCAAAGGGCUGGCGAAGGGGCCGGAAGUGCCAGGCCGCUGUUUCCCAGGGAACCCGGCACGCCGGCUCCAGGGGUCGGUCCAGCAACUGUGUGGCCGCAGCAGGUGUCGGACUCGAGGGCGGAGGCGUGGCGGCGGGAGUGACUGUGCACUGCUGUGCUCUCAGCACAGGGCUGGCAGAGCAGGUGGGGACAAGGAUGCUGCCACACUUCUCAGUGCCCUGAUCCCUUCCCACCCACGCACGAGGUCCCAUCGGCCGAGUCGUCUCUGUCCCGGCCAGGAUUACACAGGCUGUGGCCUGCCUGCUGCCUCUUCUGCCUGUUACGGGUGCAUCGGCGCUCCCAGAUCCUCUAGGUACGAAACGCUGGCGAGUGCUUGGCUUCUCUGAGCCACUUGCUCCGUCUGUUGGAUGGGACUGCUGGGAGUCUGACUCCAGUCUUGAGCCUGGUGCGGGGGUGUAGGGGGCAUUGUCAAAACUGCUUGUCCAUCAUCACUUCUUGCAGGGACAGCCCCGCUCCUGGAGGCCACCCCUCCUCCGUUCCCAGUGAAAGCUGCUGAGCCUUGCCCCACCCUGUUCCACAAGGACCAGGCAGGGGACCCGAGUCUGUCCGGUCCCUGUAGCAGUGCCCCAGAGUUUCACUAAAACCAUUAGCUUGGAGCUGAGGACGUUGUUACUGUUUGGCCAUGGGAGACUGGAGAGUGGGGAGGCAAGAGAUGGAAUCAGACACAUAGGUCUGCUGAUGCCUCUGUGGCCCCAUGGAUCCAGCUGUGCCAGGAGCUGGUUACCCUCUCGUAGGUUUAGGAACGAACCGUCAGCCAAGUUUGUCUUCGCUUAAGCCAGUUUGAGUUGAGUUGAUCACUUAACACAGGACGUAACUCUUCCCAUCUCAUUCUACAGGGCCAACUUUACCUCGAAUCCAGAACCAGACAUGGAGACAACAAAAAGAGAAAACUGUAGGACAAUUUCUUUGAUGAAGACGGAUGCAGAAGUUCCCAGUGAAAUACCAGCAAAUUGAACCCAAAACACAUCAGAAAGAGCCCUCACGCUCACCAAGUGAGAUGGAUCCCAGCAGUGCAAGGAGGGUUCAGCACACACGCAUUGGGGACGUCAUCCUUGUCAACAGAAUGAAGAAUGAAAAUCGUGAUUCCUCAAGAGAUGAAGGAAAGUAUUGAAUAAAAUUCAACAUCCAUUCCUGAUUUUAAAAACG
rnacentral:lncRNA from 1 species